AGUCAUAUGCUUGUCUCAAAGAUUAAGCCAUGCAUGUCUAAGUAUAAACAACUUUAUACUGUGAAACUGCGAACGGCUCAUUAUAUCAGCAAUAAUUUAUUUGAUGGUUCCUUACUACACGGAUAACUGUAGUAAUUCUAGAGCUAAUACGUGCGUAAAAUCCCGACUCUUGCGGGGAGGGAUGUAUUUAUUAGAUAAAAAGCCAGCGCGGGUUCUGCCCGGUUUUGUGGUGAAUCAUAGUAACUUUUCGAAUCGCAUGACUUCACGUCGGCGAUAGUUCAUUCAAAUUUCUGCCCUAUCAGCUUUCGACGGUAGUGUAGUGGACUACCGUGGCAUUAAC
rnacentral:rRNA from 1 species